AUGGGUUUCCCCUUCAUCCCGUUCCAGACGGAGAAGGAGGAGGCGCCGGUCCUCCAGGCCAAGGCGAAGAAGGCCAAGCCGGAGGACGCGAUGAUCAAGGCCGAGGUGGAGGCCAUGACGAUCACGACGGAGGAGGGGCUCAUCAAGUUCAUGGAGCUGCUGGAGAAGGAGGCGGCGUUCCUCAAGGCCAAGGCGGAGGCGGAGAAGGAGGCGGCGGGGUGUGGCUCCAAGAGAAAGCCGGAGUUGGAGCGGGACGAGGAGUUGGCGGCGUUCGUGGCGCGGAUGGAGGCCUUGAGGCCGUUGUACGGGGAUGAGGAUGUUUCAGACGGCUACAACUCGCAGGACGACGACCCGAACACCACCUUCGACGACGUCAUGGCGCAGUUGGAGCAGCAAAUCCAGGCCAACAACGCUCGCUGGCCUUUCUUAAUUGGUGGCGGCCAAAUCAAAUCCCCUGAAGAUGAUGAUUGUGUGACACCUGAUGAGAAGGAGCUUCACCAAUGCUAG
rnacentral:rRNA from 1 species